GACGAACGCUGGCGGCGUGCUUAACACAUGCAAGUCGAACGAAGUGGCGAACGGGUGAGUAACGCGUAGUCAACCUGCCCUUCAGAGGGGGACAACAGUUGAAAACGACUGCUAAUACCGCAUACUGAAGGUGGGGUAUGCGUCUGAUUAGCUAGCUGGAGGGGUAACGGCCCACCAAGGCGAUGAUCAGUAUCCGGUCUGAGAGGAUGAACGGCCAAAAUGGGACUGAGACACGGCCCAGACGCCUACGGGAGGCAGCAGUGGGGAAUCUUCCGAAAUGGACGAAAGUCUGACGGAGCAACGCCGCGUGAGUGAUGACGGCCUUCGGGUUGUAAAGCUCUGUUAAUCGGGACGCGGUACCGGAAUAGAAAGCCACGGCUAACUACGUGCCAGCAGCCGCGGUAAUUC
rnacentral:rRNA from 1 species